GCCUGGACUGAGGUCCGCGCAUCUGCUAGGAUGCUGGCGUAAUGGCUGUAAGCGGCCCGUCUUGUAACACGGACCAAGGAGUCUAACAUGUGUGCGAGUC
rnacentral:rRNA from 1 species